rnacentral:lncRNA from 1 species
CAGAAGAGAGCAAGUUAAAUUGCCAGAGUUUCCCACCAAGGCUGACAGAGGUGAAAGGUGAGACCUUCACUUUCUCCACCAGAGGACAGCUGGAUGCCCUCCACCACUAUGCCACCCAACAAAAGGAAUUUCAUGGGCUGGUCUCAGAAAAGCAUGCAGAGAAGGGGAAGAGAAGUGAUCCUGCACCUCAGCCCCCAGACUCAUGAUCCUCACAAGCUGCCUCAGGGU